rnacentral:rRNA from 1 species
GUUUGAUCAUGGCUCAGAACGUACGCUGGCGGCACGCCUAACACAUGCAAGUCGAACGAAGUAGCAAUACUUAGUGGCAGACGGGUGAGUAACAUGUGGGUAUCUGCCCUUUGGCCUGGAAUAACACGAGGAAACUUGUGCUAAUACCGGAUAAGUCUUUACGGAGAAAGCUUUAUGCACCAUUGGAUGAGCCCGCACUUGAUUAGUUUGUUGGUGGGGUAAUGGCCUACCAAGACUGUGAUCAAUAGCUGAUUUGAGAGGAUGAUCAGCCACAUUGGGACUGAGACACGGCCCAAACUCCUACGGGAGGCAGCAGUGGGGAAUCUUGCACAAUGGAGGAAACUCUGAUGCAGCGAUGCCGCGUGAGUGAAGAAGGCCCUUGGGUUGUAAAGCUCUUUCGUCGGGGAAGAAAAUGACUGUACCCGAAUAAGAAGGUCCGGCUAACUUCGUGCCAGCAGCCGCGGUAAUACGAAGGGACCUAGCGUAGUUCGGAAUUACUGGGCUUAAAGAGUUCGUAGGUGGUUGAAAAAGUUAGUGGUGAAAUCCCAGAGCUUAACUCUGGAACUGCCAUUAAAACUUUUCAGCUAGAGUAUGAUAGAGGAAAGCAGAAUUUCUAGUGUAGAGGUGAAAUUCGUAGAUAUUAGAAAGAAUACCAAUUGCGAAGGCAGCUUUCUGGAUCAUUACUGACACUGAGGAACGAAAGCAUGGGUAGCGAAGAGGAUUAGAUACCCUCGUAGUCCAUGCCGUAAACGAUGUGUGUUAGACGUUGGAAAUUUAUUUUCAGUGUCGCAGCGAAAGCGAUAAACACACCGCCUGGGGAGUACGACCGCAAGGUUAAAACUCAAAUGAAUUGACGGGGACCCGCACAAGUAGUGGAGCAUGUGGUUUAAUUCGAAGAUACGCGCAGAACCUUACCAACACUUGACAUGUUCGUCGCGACUUUAAGAGAUUAGAGUUUUCGGUUCGGCCGGACGAAACACAGGUGCUGCAUGGCUGUCGUCAGCUCGUGUCGUGAGAUGUUGGGUUAAGUCCCGCAACGAGCGCAACCCUCACUUUUAGUUGCCAUCAUUAAGUUGGGCACUCUGAAAGAACUGCCAGUGAUAAGCUGGAGGAAGGUGGGGAUGACGUCAAGUCCUCAUGGCCCUUACGUGUUGGGCUACACACGUGCUACAAUGGUAUCUACAACAGGAAGCAAGACUGCGAGGUCAAGCAAAUCCUUAAAAGAUACCUCAGUUCGGAUUGCACUCUGCAACUCGAGUGCAUGAAGCUGGAAUUACUAGUAAUCGUGGAUCAGCGUGCCACGGUGAAUGCGUUCCCGGGUCUUGUACACACCGCCCGUCACACCAUGGGAGUUGGUUCUACCUUAAGGCAAGGUUUCAAACCCUUGACCACGGUAUAGUCAGCGACUGGGGUGAAGUCGUAACAAGGUAGCCGUA